rnacentral:rRNA from 1 species
GACGAACGCUGGCGGCGUGCUUAACACAUGCAAGUCGAACGGGAAGGCCCUGCUUUUGUGGGGUGCUCGAGUGGCGAACGGGUGAGUAACACGUGAGUAACCUGCCCUUGACUUUGGGAUAACUUCAGGAAACUGGGGCUAAUACCGGAUAGGAGCUCCUGCUGCAUGGUGGGGGUUGGAAAGUUUCGGCGGUUGGGGAUGGACUCGCGGCUUAUCAGCUUGUUGGUGGGGUAGUGGCUUACCAAGGCUUUGACGGGUAGCCGGCCUGAGAGGGUGACCGGCCACAUUGGGCCUGAGAUACGGCACAGACUCCUACGGGAGGCAGCAGUGGGGAAUAUUGCACAAUGGGCGGAAGCAUGAUGCAGCAACGCCGCGUGCGGGAUGACGGCCUUCGGGUUGUAAACCGCUUUCGCCUGUGACGAAGCGUGAGUGACGGUAAUGGGUAAAGAAGCACCGGCUAACUACGUG